CCUACGGGUGGCAGCAGUGAGGAAUAUUGGUCAAUGGACGCAAGUCUGAACCAGCCAUGCCGCGUGCAGGAAGACGGCCCUAUGAGUUGUAAACUGCUUUUGUACGAGGGUAAACGCAGAUACGCGUAUCUGUCUGAAAGUAUCGUACGAAUAAGGAUCGGCUAACUCCGUGCCAGCAGCCGCGGGAAUACGGAGGAUUCAAGCGUUAUCCGGAUUUAUUGGGUUGAAAGGGUGCGUAGGCGGUCGGAUAAAUUAGAGGUGAAAUGCCGUGGCUCAACUUCGGGAUUGCCUCUGAUACUGGUCGGCUAGAGAGUAGUAGCGGUAGGCGGAAUGUAAGGUGUAGCGGUGAAAUGCGUAGAGAU
rnacentral:rRNA from 1 species